rnacentral:tRNA from 1 species
GUCCGAGUGACGAAGUGGUUAUCGUGCCGUUCUUAUACUUAUUUGGCGACAAAUUAGUAUGAUAAGAUAUGCGGAAGUCGUGAGUUCGAUCCUCACCUUGGACA